rnacentral:rRNA from 1 species
GACGAACGCUGGCGGCGUGCUUAACACAUGCAAGUCGAACGCUGAAGCUCAGCUUUUGUUGGGUGGAUGAGUGGCGAACGGGUGAGUAACACGUGAGUAACCUGCCUCCUUCUUUGGGAUAACGCCCGGAAACGGGUGCUAAUACUGGAUAUUCACUGGUCUUCGCAUGGGGGUUGGUGGAAAGGGUUUUUCUGGUGGGGGAUGGGCUCGCGGCCUAUCAGCUUGUUUGUGGGGUGAUGGCCUACCCAGGCUUUGACGGGUAGCCUGCCUGAGAAGGUGACCGGGAACAUUGAGACUGAGAUGCGGCCCAGACUACGACGGGGGGCAGCAGAGGGGAAUAUGGCACAAUGGGCGCAAGACUGAUGCAGCGACGGCGCGGGAGGGAUGGAGGCCUUCGGGUUGUGAACCUCUUUCGCACAUGGUGAAGCCGAAACAAUGGGUGUGGUGAGGGUAGUGGGUAAAGAAGCGCCGGCUAACUACGUG